UUUACAAAUUCCGUUCUCUGUUUAUCCAACAUAGAAGCUUAUCAAGAUGAAUGGAAAAAAGUUAUUUUUGUGAUAUAUCUUCACGUUCUAGAUAUUGAUCGUCUAAUUAUUCUAUGUAGUGAAUAUUUUGGUAUAAAGUAUCCCCAUCAAAAAGAAAUAAAGGAUGCUACAAGCACAUUCGUAUGUCGUUUUUUGAAAUAUACCUAGAAAUUGAGAGUAGUUCGACCAAAUGUUACACUUAUACUGUUGUCAUGCAAUCAUUUUAGCAUCAUAACGCUAAUUUAUAUAUAAAAACAAGACUAAAUACUUCUCUUGUUAUCUGUAUUGAAUUAUAUUAAAACAUAUUUGUCCCAAGACAUUGCACAAUAUCUGUGUCUUCCAUUAUUUAUUACGGUGCUGCUCUGAAUUUAGCAAGUUUAUUACUUGUAGCUUGUUUCCAGUAACUGUAUUCAUUCUUUGAUAUGAUAUUGUUUAUGUUGUUUUGAUUGUAGUUGUAUUAUUUCUUAUCAUAUGAAUUAGUAUUACAUAGAUACAAGUAUUUAAAUGCGUUGUCUGUACUAGUUCGUAAUAAUGUACGCUAAAGUGUGCACAUUUAAGUGCCAGUCUUUGUAAGAAUCAGGCAAUUUAGGUAAAAAUUAAAAUAUGAUUAGAAAAAACCCACCGUGGUAAUUAUGCUAUUUAAUACUAACCAUCAUCCUGAGUAAAAAAGUAUUAGUCUUUCGCUUGUGUGUGUCUGGUAAUAUCAAAUAACUUGGUUAGAAAAUUGUAAAAUGAAUAGCAAAUUACAGAGUUAUCUCCCCUUAUCGUUAAUUUCUAGUGCAUUUUCAACCAAAUUUAUCUUCUAUUACCAGAACAGAAAUGGAAAUGAAUUAUUUUGUGCAUAAUACAUAUUAUGAUGAAAAUCAUGUCAAAUAGGUGGGUUUUUUGGUCAUGUUUUCACCACUGCCUGAUUCUUAGGCAGACUGGCACUUAAUCCACAUUUUUUUAUAUUUCAAUAAGUAGCAUUGAUAUCUCCUAAAACAACCAUGUUUGGUUCUCCACUUGAACACAUGACUGUGUAAGACAGGAGUCCCAUCAGUGGAUGUCUUCUGUUGUAUCAAUGUUUUGGUCGUGUCCGGUGUUUGGUAUUAAUUGCAGGCAUUUGAUAAGCCAUCAAAUUGUUCUAGAUGCGAAUCGACAAAGAGACUGACAUAAUUUGUAUAGGCUUUUCAUUUUGUCUAAUGUAAGAGAGUUGUGUUGACUGUUUAGUGUCAUUUUUAUACUAUGUUGUUGUUUAUCUUUUUGUUCACCACUUUAUUUGCUUGCUUAAAUUAUUUUAUUUAUUGAACUUUAUUACAACAUGUAAUUUUGUAAGUUCCAUGUUUCUCAAAUGAAUGAUAUGAUAAAUCUUAUAUUGUCUGCAAUUCUUACUGUAUCAGGUAGAUACAUCAUAUAAUGUUUGUAUUUAGAUAUGACGAUUUCAGAUAAUAAACAUUG
rnacentral:lncRNA from 1 species